rnacentral:rRNA from 1 species
CGCGGCCUAUCAGCUUGUUGGUGGGGUAACGGCCUACCAAGGCAACGACGGGUAGCCGGCCUGAGAGGGUGACCGGCCACACUGGGACUGAGACACGGCCCAGACUCCUACGGGAGGCAGCAGUGGGGAAUAUUGGACAAUGGGCGAAAGCCUGAUCCAGCAACGCCGCGUGAGGGAUGACGGCCUUCGGGUUGUAAACCUCUUUCAGCUCCGACGAAGCGCAAGUGACGGUAGGAGCAGAAGAAGCACCGGCCAACUACGUGCCAGCAGCCGCGGUAAUACGUAGGGUGCGAGCGUUGUCCGGAAUUAUUGGGCGUAAAGGGCUCGUAGGCGGUCUGUCGCGUCGGGAGUGAAAACUCAGGGCUUAACCCUGAGCCGGCUUCCGAUACGGGCAGACUAGAGGUAUGCAGGGGAGAAUGGAAUUCCUGGUGUAGCGGUGAAAUGCGCAGAUAUCAGGAGGAACACCGGUGGCGAAGGCGGUUCUCUGGGCAUUACCUGACGCUGAGGAGCGAAAGUGUGGGGAGCGAACAGGAUUAGAUACCCUGGUAGUCCACACCGUAAACGUUGGGCGCUAGGUGUGGGACUCAUUCCACGAGUUCCGUGCCGCAGCUAACGCAUUAAGCGCCCCGCCUGGGGAGUACGG